AGAUUGAACGCUGGCGGCAUGCUUUACACAUGCAAGUCGAACGGCAGCACGGGUGCUUGCACUUGGUGGCGAGUGGCGAACGGGUGAGUAAUACAUCGGAACGUGUCCUGAAGUGGGGGAUAACGCAUCGAAAGAUGUGCUAAUACCGCAUAUGCUCUGAGGAGGAAAGUGGGGGAUCCGCAAGGACCUCACGCUAUGGGAGCGGCCGAUGUCCGAUUAGCUUGUUGGUGAGGUAAAGGCUCACCAAGGCGACGAUCGGUAGCUGGUCUGAGAGGAUGAUCAGCCACACUGGGACUGAGACACGGCCCAGACUCCUACGGGAGGCAGCAGUGGGGAAUUUGGACAAGUGGGGGCAACCCCGAUCCAGCCAUGCCGCGUGCGGGAAGAAGGCCGU
rnacentral:rRNA from 1 species